GUGGGGAAUCUUCCGCAAUGGACGAAAGUCUGACGGAGCAACGCCGCGUGAGUGAUGAAGGUCUUCGGAUUGUAAAGCUCUGUUAAUCGGGACGAAAGAGCCUAGUGUGAAUAAUGCUAGGAAGUGACGGUACCGGAAUAGAAAGCCACGGCUAACUACGUGCCAGCAGCCGCGGUAAUACGUAGGUGGCAAGCGUUGUCCGGAAUUAUUGGGCGUAAAGCGCGCGCAGGCGGAUCUGCCAGUCUGUCUUAAAAGUUCGGGGCUUAACCCCGUGAUGGGAUGGAAACUACAGAUCUAGAGUAUCGGAGAGGAAAGUGGAAUUCCAAGUGUAGCGGUGAAAUGCGUAGAGAUUUGGAAGAACACCAGUGGCGAAGGCGACUUUCUGGACGAUGUCUGACGCUGAGGCGCGAAAGCUAGGGGAGCGAACGGGAUUAGAAACCCCAGUAGUCC
rnacentral:rRNA from 1 species